UACGGAGGGUGCGAGCGUUGUUCGGAAUCAUUGGGCGUAAAGGGCGUGUAGGUGGUCUGUUAAGUCAUGUGUGAAAGCCCUCAGCUUAACUGGGGAAGUGCGCAUGAAACUGACAGGCUAGAGUACCGAAGAGGAAGGUGGAAUUCCCGGUGUAGCGGUGGAAUGCGCAGAUAUCAGGAGGAACACCGGUGGCGAAGGCGGUUCUCUGGGCAUUACCUGACGCUGAGGAGCGAAAGCAUGGGGAGCGAACAGG
rnacentral:rRNA from 1 species